GACGAACGCUGGCGGCGUGCCUAAUACAUGCAAGUAGAACGCUGAAGGAGGAGCUUGCUUCUCUGGAUGAGUUACGAACGGGUGAGUAACGCGUAGGUAACCUGCCUGGUAGCGGGGGAUAACUAUUGGAAACGAUAGCUAAUACCGCAUAAGAGUAGAUGUCGCAUGACAUUUGCUUAAAAGGUGCAAUUGCAUCACUACCAGAUGGACCUGCGUUGUAUUAGCUAGUUGGUGAGGUAACGGCUCACCAAGGCAACGAUACAUAGCCGACCUGAGAGGGUGAUCGGCCACACUGGGACUGAGACACGGCCCAGACUCCUACGGGAGGCAGCAGUAGGGAAUCUUCGGCAAUGGACGGAAGUCUGACCGAGCAACGCCGCGUGAGUGAAGAAGGUUUUCGGAUCGUAAAGCUCUGUUGUAAGAGAAGAACGAGUGUGAGAGUGGAAAGUUCACACUGUGACGGUAUCUUACCAGAAAGGGACGGCUAACUACGUG
rnacentral:rRNA from 1 species